rnacentral:rRNA from 1 species
GACGAACGCUGGCGGCGUGCUUAACACAUGCAAGUCGAACGAUGAAGCUAGAGCUUGCUCUGGUGAAUUAGUGGCGAACGGGUGAGUAACACGUGAGUAACCUGCCCCGAACUCUGGGAUAACUGCUGGAAACGGUAGCUAAUACUGGAUACGACCUACGAAGGCAUCUUCUGUAGGUGGAAAGAAUUUCGGUUCGGGAUGGACUCGCGGCCUAUCAGCUGGUUGGUGAGGUAAUGGCUCACCAAGGCGACGACGGGUAGCCGGCCUGAGAGGGUGACCGGCCACACUGGGACUGAGACACGGCCCAGACGCCUGCGGGAGGCAGCAGUGGGGAAUAUUGCACAAUGGGCGCAAGCCUGAUGCAGCAACGCCGCGGGAGGGAUGACGGCCUUCGGGUUGUAAACCUCUUUUAGUAGGGAAGAAGCGAAAGUGACGGUACCUGCAGAAAAAGCACCGGCUAACUACGUGCCAGCAGCCGCCGUAA